CUUUACUCCUGCUUGCGGAGGGAGGGCCGGGCGCUGGCCUGGGUCUGUUUUCCAGCCCAUCCUGGCCCUGAGGCGGUGUCAUCGAGACCCCUCUCUGUCACCUUUCCUGGGAGGGCCCCUGUCCGGGCUCGAGACGCCUCAGGCGAGGGGGAAUGAGGCCUUGGGGGAAACUUGCCUCCCUAUCUUCCCUCUGGGUAGGGGCAGAACCAGGUCAGGCCUGGACUUGUAGCCCUCUGAGGAUGCGGGUGAGGCUGGACACAGCUCAGAGGGGCCGGUGCCCGUGUGGCCCUGUGUAUCAGGUCUCCCGGGGCCUGGUUCUGUGUGCAUUUGUCCCACCCGGGUGCUGGGGGCUCGGACAGCCUGCGGCCAGAGGGAAACCAGAGCUCCCAGAAGGGUGGGCAGCGGAGGAUUAGGCUCCCUCCGGAGCCCUUCCCACGGGGUCCCCCACAGAAGACCUCCGUAGUCUUAGGGCCCUGGGCGCGGGGUGGGGCUGUCCUCCAGGAUGCGCUGUGGUGAUGGGGACUGAGGAGCCCUGGGUGCCACUCCUCAGAGAGGACCGGGGAGCCAGAGGGAGUCAGCCUCUGGGUAUCUCCCGCCCCCCACAGAGGGCGGGUAAUUAACGCUCAUUAGCACGCUGGGACCGGGAAUGGCUAACAGGAGAGAGUCCUUGUCAAGUGAGGGGCCUCAGGGCUUCGCUUUCCUGCUCAGCAUAAACGUUUCUCAGGUGCAGGUGCUUUUUCCCCACGCCUUCCCGGGGCCCGGGUCUGCCUUCUCCUGGUACAGAACCUGAACCCUGGCGGGGGGUGGGGUGGGGCUGGAAAGACGCAAGGCCAAAAGGGGUGUUGAGGAGUCGCCACACCAGGUGAGCACGAGGGACAAGGGGCAGGGGGACGUGCUCUUGGAAGGAGGUGGUGGUGGUGACCAAGGGCACGAUGGGAUGGGAGCCACUUGGUGGCCACCCAUCUCCCCCCACGCCCAGAGCCCCUGGGCACCGGUAGAGCGCAGUGUGGAAGCGGGCGGUCCUGCCCACCUCCUUGCUCAGGUCUGUUGAGGUUCGGGGGAGAAUGUCCAAGCGGCAGGGAGCUAGGAGCCACAGGGAGCCCUGGCCCUGGGAGGUCCCAGGCUCUGGUCCCCACACACCAGGUGGCCUUGAGGAUCCCGGUCUCCACAGACCUCUGGGCAGCCCUGGGGCCCAGCAGCAGCCUCUCUGAUUAGACCUGGAGGUCAGCAGGUCACAUUUGGCCCUGUCCCCCCUGUGUGCCCGCAGAAGGCCCUGUGAAGGAGGGGAGAGGGAACCACCUGUCCCCUUGAAGGACCCGCGUAGUCCGAGAGAGCUCAUUCCCUUGCCGGUCCCCAAAGCCUCACCCUCCGGGUUUCCUAGACUGCUGAUUGUUUCCUGCACCCCAUGCCAGGCCCAGAGGACAGGAAGUGAUGGAGGGAAUCAGCGUGCCACAGUGUGUGACCGUGGGUGAUGAAACUGGAUGUGUGUGAGAGGCUGGAGCGGGACCGUGUGGGUGGAUGGCGUGGGAGAGGAGCCCUGGUGUGUGUGACCGCACGCGAGGCUGGACGUGGGCGUGAGAGAAGCUGUCUGUGACUGUGAGGUCCGGUGUGUGAGCCUGAUAGGGUGAGUUCAGAAGAGGGCCGGCCAUGUGUCUUCCGUGUGUCCUUCUGGGUGUGUUUGUGAGGGACUGCCUGGUGGCAUUCCAUGUGAGGGCAUCACACUGGCCGGGUGCCUGCGGACGACACUGCUUUGUGCGAGGGACCCUGUGAUUGUGUGACACUGCCCGUAUCAGAGGCAGAACGAGUGACAUCGUGCAACGCAUGGUGCUGUGGUGACAACUCCUGAUGUGUGUGUGAAACCGUUUGUGCGGUGGCCUCAAGACUGACUCUGUGUGACACCAGGUGUGAGUGAAACCACAGGACUGUGACAGUGUGACACGCAUCAGGGCAUGGUGGGCAGGCUGAGCACCCGUGGUGAGGAGCUGUGAGUGCUGUGUGCAGGAGACACGGACCCCGAGAAGGCCUCCCCUAGUUGUGCAGCUGUGUGUGCAAGAAGGGAGCCGUGGGUGUGACAGGCUGGCUGUGUGGGUGGUCACUGCAUCAGCACGGGUGGGUGGCAUCCACAGGGGCUGUGCCAGGCAGGGCGUGGGACACUGCCACACGUGGCAGGCCUGGGGCCCCGCGCGGGGCAUCUGUGUGGAUGAUCACAAACAACGAUAGUGUGAAAAACAGAAUGUGCUCAGCUGCACACAGAAAAGUGGUUUGAGUGGCAAAUUUUAUGUAUAUCUUACCACAAUACAAUUAAGAAAAAAACACCAACCAGAAGAAGCCAGGAAAGAGGUGCGGGGUGGUGGCUGUGGCCUUGUGUGGCACAGGGCCGGCCACAGGAGCAGCAUAGAGGAAGUGUGUUCAUGUGGGGUUUUGUUGUUUUUUGGGUUUUUUUUUGGUACCGGGGAUCAAACUCGGGACCUUGCGCUUAUGAGGCAGGCGGUGGAACCACUGAGCUAAAUCCCCGGCCCCAGGAAGUGUGUUCAUAGAGGACACUGUGACCCUUUUGGUGGGCAGAGUGGCCGGAGGGGCUGGUGGCAGCGCAGUGGGUGACCAGGGGACCUGGAGGGGGCCUGAGAUGGCGCCCAUCAACAUGCUAAGUAAGAACCGGGGCCCUAGCCUGGCCCCCGCUGGGGACGUGGGAGCCCCUCCCUGGCAGUGGGAUGAGAGGCCCAGAGGACCAGACCCUCCGGAGAGGGCCUGACCCCUUCCCUUGCUGCUCUGGGAGGGGCAGCAGCGGGUAAGACUUGGGGAAGAGAGCCUGGGGGGGGCAGUCCCGCCCCCCCACAGCUCCCGAGAAAGCCCUCACCCCAGUGGUGCUGAGGGGUGACUCUCUUCCCAAAUUGGAAGCACGUGAAUGAGCCCAGCGGGAUGCGCCCUCUCACCCCCAUGGGCUCUGCAAAUUGCUUCCUCCUGUGGAAAUCUUCAUCCUCCUCCCCAGCCUGGCAGGGUGUGGCCCCUUGGCAGGGUCCCCUGGGGUCCUUGGGCUGGAGGUGGGGGAGACAGACACCAUCCCCACCCCCUCUCCGAGCCCAGAAUGGGCCGACCGGCCGGCCGCUUCCAGGGUAGGAGCCUCUGGCAGCUGGAGAACAGCUGGCGGGUGGCAGGCAGCGGGAGGGAGGCUGGGGGGUGGGGAGGCUGCAGGCCUCCUCUUUCCCCAUCCUUCACCCCAUGGCUCGGUGCCCAGGGCAGGCCCGGGAUGCCCAGGGGACUGUGGGGUUCUCUGUCUUCCUGCCACCUUGAGCAGUACCGCCUCAAAGCCGGAGCACCUGGGCCAGGGUCCCUGCAGGGGUGGGUGGUAGCUGCCUGCAGGGCCUGAUAAGGCCCCAGUUCAGCCUUGGCUCCCCAUGGGGCUGCAGAGGUGCCGCCUGCCAGGUCACCUUGUCCCAUCUAUGUCCCCCACUGUGGCAGCUGCUCAGGGGAACCCCACACUUCAGGUUGGUGCCCCAUCCCCCUCAAAAGGGAGCUCUGGGGCUGGGUGGUCUGGAGUCUGGGGCCUCUGGGGUCUGGGGGGCCAGGACCUCUGUAGCAGCCCCCAACUCUGGCCUCCAUUCCUGGAGCCAUCUGGCCAGUUCUGCCAGCAGACCCGGGGGGGGGGCAGCGAGGCACCCCGUAUCUCCCCAGAGCUCGGCCUGCUCUCCCAGCCUUCCGAGACCCUGACCCUGCCACCACUCAGUGGUACUUCUGACCCCAGAAGGCUGAGGCCUGGGAGCCAGGCUUAGGUGUGCCGGCCGGCCGAGGUGGGACAGGCCUCAGUUUCCCUCAACCGAGUGGGCAUCGCCUUUGGCUUCCCUGCCCCCAUCUGGUGAGGCCCAGAUGGACCAGGUGCUGCCCAACGCGUGCCAUGUACACGCACGGUCUGGGCGUCCUCACUGCUGCUCUUGCGCUCUGCAGCUCUGGUCUGCGUGUUGGAGCGGUCGCUGUGGCUGGGAUGGCGUAGUGAGCUCAGUUGAGUUCUCACCCCCACCCCAGGCCCUUAACUCGUCUUGCGGCAGGGUG
rnacentral:lncRNA from 1 species